rnacentral:rRNA from 1 species
GAUGAACGCUGGCGGCGUGCCUAAUACAUGCAAGUCGAGCGAACGGACGAGAAGCUUGCUUUUCUGAUGUUAGCGGCGGACGGGUGAGUAACACGUGGAUAACCUACCUAUAAGACUGGGAUAACUUCGGGAAACCGGAGCUAAUACCGGAUAAUAUUUUGAACCGCAUGGUUCAAAAGUGAAAGACGGUCUUGCUGUCACUUAUAGAUGGAUCCGCGCUGCAUUAGCUAGUUGGUAAGGUAACGGCUUACCAAGGCAACGAUGCAUAGCCGACCUGAGAGGGUGAUCGGCCACACUGGAACUGAGACACGGUCCAGACUCCUACGGGAGGCAGCAGUAGGGAAUCUUCCGCAAUGGGCGAAAGCCUGACGGAGCAACGCCGCGUGAGUGAUGAAGGUCUUCGGAUCGUAAAACUCUGUUAUUAGGGAAGAACAGAUGUGUAAGUAACGGUGCACAUCUUGACGGUACCUAAGCAGAAAGCCACGGCUAACUACGU